rnacentral:rRNA from 1 species
AGCAGUCGCCGCGGGAAUACGUAGGUGGCAAGCGUUAUCCGGAAUUAUUGGGCGUAAAGCGCGCGUAGGCGGUUUUUUAAGUCUGAUGUGAAAGCCCACGACUCAACCGUGGAGGGUCAUUGGAAACUGGAAAACUUGAGUGCAGAAGAGGAAAGUGGAAUUCCAUGUGUAGCGGUGAAAUGCGCAGAGAUAUGGAGGAACACCAGUGGCGAAGGCGACUUUCUGGUCUGUAACUGACGCUGAUGUGCGAAAGCGUGGGGAUCAAACAGGAUUAGAUACCCCCGUAGUCCCUGUCUCUUAUAC